rnacentral:rRNA from 1 species
AGACCCGAAACCCGGUGAUCUAGCCAUGGGCAGGUUGAAGGUUGGGUAACACUAACUGGAGGACCGAACCGACUAAUGUUGAAAAAUUAGCGGAUGACCUGUGGCUGGGGGUGAAAGGCCAAUCAAACCGGGAGAUAGCUGGUUCUCCCCGAAAGCUAUUUAGGUAGCGCCUCGUGAAUUCAUCUCCGGGGGUAGAGCACUGUUUCGGCUAGGGGGCCAUCCCGGCUUACCAACCCGAUGCAAACUGCGAAUACCGGAGAAUGUUAUCACGGGAGACACACGGCGGGUGCUAACGUCCGUCGUGAAGAGGGAAACAACCCAGACCGCCAGCUAAGGUCCCAAAGUCAUGGUUAAGUGGGAAACGAUGUGGGAAGGCCCAGACAGCCAGGAUGUUGGCUUAGAAGCAGCCAUCAUUUAAAGAAAGCGUAAUAGCUCACUGGUCGAGUCGGCCUGCGCGGAAGAUGUAACGGGGCUAAACCAUGCACCGAAGCUGCGGCAGCGAACGUAUCACCCAAGACAACUUUACGGAGUUGACGAUUGACGGAGCGAAGCGACGUCAAAGCGUUCAUUAAAGUCGAGUUGGCUUAGGGAUACGUUCGUUGGGUAGGGGAGCGUUCUGUAAGCCUGUGAAGGUGUGUCGUGAGGCAUGCUGGAGGUAUCAGAAGUGCGAAUGCUGACAUAAGUAACGAUAAAGCGGGUGAAAAGCCCGCUCGCCGGAAGACCAAGGGUUCCUGUCCAACGUUAAUCGGGGCAGGGUGAGUCGACCCCUAAGGCGAGGCCGAAAGGCGUAGUCGAUGGGAAACGGGUUAAUAUUCCCGUACUUGGUGUUACUGCGAAGGGGGGACGGAGAAGGCUAUGUUGGCCGGGCGACGGUUGUCCCGGUUUAAGCGUGUAGGUGUGUGUUCCAGGUAAAUCCGGUUCACUUUAACACUGAGGCGUGACGACGAGGCACUACGGUGCUGAAGCAACAAAUGCCCUGCUUCCAGGAAAAGCCUCUAAGCAUCAGGUAACACGAAAUCGUACCCCAAACCGACACAGGUGGUCAGGUAGAGAAUACCAAGGCGCUUGAGAGAACUCGGGUGAAGGAACUAGGCAAAAUGGUGCCGUAACUUCGGGAGAAGGCACGCUGACACGUAGGUGAAGUGAUUUACUCAUGGAGCUGAAGUCAGUCGAAGAUACCAGCUGGCUGCAACUGUUUAUUAAAAACACAGCACUGUGCAAACACGAAAGUGGACGUAUACGGUGUGACGCCUGCCCGGUGCCGGAAGGUUAAUUGAUGGGGUCAGCGUAAGCGAAGCUCCUGAUCGAAGCCCCGGUAAACGGCGGCCGUAACUAUAACGGUCCUAAGGUAGCGAAAUUCCUUGUCGGGUAAGUUCCGACCUGCACGAAUGGCGUAAUGAUGGCCAGGCUGUCUCCACCCGAGACUCAGUGAAAUUGAACUCGCUGUGAAGAUGCAGUGUACCCGCGGCAAGACGGAAAGACCCCGUGAACCUUUACUAUAGCUUGACACUGAACAUUGAGCCUUGAUGUGUAGGAUAGGUGGGAGGCUUUGAAGUGUGGACGCCAGUCUGCAUGGAGCCGACCUUGAAAUACCACCCUUUAAUGUUUGAUGUUCUAACGUGGACCCGUAAUCCGGGUUGCGGACAGUGUCUGGUGGGUAGUUUGACUGGGGCGGUCUCCUCCUAAAGAGUAACGGAGGAGCACGAAGGUUGGCUAAUCCUGGUCGGACAUCAGGAGGUUAGUGCAAUGGCAUAAGCCAGCUUGACUGCGAGCGUGACGGCGCGAGCAGGUGCGAAAGCAGGUCAUAGUGAUCCGGUGGUUCUGAAUGGAAGGGCCAUCGCUCAACGGAUAAAAGGUACUCCGGGGAUAACAGGCUGAUACCGCCCAAGAGUUCAUAUCGACGGCGGUGUUUGGCACCUCGAUGUCGGCUCAUCACAUCCUGGGGCUGAAGUAGGUCCCAAGGGUAUGGCUGUUCGCCAUUUAAAGUGGUACGCGAGCUGGGUUUAGAACGUCGUGAGACAGUUCGGUCCCUAUCUGCCGUGGGCGCUGGAGAACUGAGGGGGGCUGCUCCUAGUACGAGAGGACCGGAGUGGACGCAUCACUGGUGUUCGGGUUGUCAUGCCAAUGGCACUGCCCGGUAGCUAAAUGCGGAAGAGAUAAGUGCUGAAAGCAUCUAAGCACGAAACUUGCCCCGAGAUGAGUUCUCCCUGAGACUUAGAGUCUCCUGAAGGAACGUUGAAGACGACGACGUUGAUAGGCCGGGUGUGUAAG